UAGGUACUCCCUCCGUUUGAAAUUAUUUAUCACAAAAAUAAAUGUAUCUACAACUAAAAUAUAUGUAGAUACAUUCAUUUUUUCGAUGAGUAUUUUCGAACAGAGGGAGUACUUA
rfam:Triticum aestivum genome assembly, contig: Triticum_aestivum_CS42_TGACv1_scaffold_049662_1BS